rnacentral:rRNA from 1 species
ACUCCUACGGGAGGCAGCAGUGGGGAAUAUUGGACAAUGGGCGCAAGCCUGAUCCAGCCAUGCCGCGUGGGUGAUGAAGGCCCUAGGGUUGUAAAGCCCUUUCGGCGGGGAAGAUAAUGACGGUACCCGCAGAAGAAGCCCCGGCUAACUUCGUGCCAGCAGCCGCGGUAAUACGAAGGGGGCUAGCGUUGCUCGGAAUCACUGGGCGUAAAGCGCACGUAGGCGGACUUUUAAGUCGGAGGUGAAAUCCUGGAGCUCAACUCCAGAACUGCCUUCGAUACUGAGAGUCUUCGAGUUCGGGAGAGGUGAGUGGAACUGCGAGUGUAGCGGUGAAAUGCGUAGAGAUC